rnacentral:lncRNA from 1 species
CCUCAGGUGAUCAACCUGCCUCAGCCUCCCAAAGUGCUGGGAUUACAGGCGUGAGCCACCGCACCUGGCCUAGGGGUACCUUUAAUAAAUCUUUUUGGGGGUGCAAUUCAGCCCUCAAGACCAGGUGAGAGAGUCCCUCCCAGUAUGAUUGCAAGCUCAAACCCAUGGAUCCAAAUCAGGAUACCACCUUAAAUUUAACAUAAUGCCCUUAAAAAUGAAAAAGUCCGCAAGCCAUGUUAUCAUCUGGAUUUCAACAAAGAAAAGUGACUCCAGCAUGCAGAGUGGGAUCAACUUGCUCUACCAACUCUGGAUCUUCUGUCAUCUGGAAAUGACGGGGAUCUUGUACUCACGGGCAAUGCCUGCCUACUAUUAUCUUUGGAAUCAGCAUGUGAGGCCCCCUACAGGUGAGAACCAUACAACUGUACAACCCCACAUGUUCUCUUAAGCUCCCAUACUACCCCUUGUAGCAGGAACCAAGGAAAGGGAAACUCCAUCUGCACUCACGGCUCACAACUUUAUGUUUGAACCUCUUCUCCAACUGAUUCCUUGAACCCUGUUCU